rnacentral:rRNA from 1 species
AGCAGCCGCGGUAAUUCCAGCUCCAAUAGCGUAUAUUAAAGUUGUUGCAGUUAAAAAGCUCGUAGUUGAAUUUCGGGAUUGACGUGAUGGUCAUGCCUUAAGGGGUAUGAACUGUUACUGUUGAUUUCUCACCUUCUGGAGAAACUUGAUGUCCUUUAUUGGGUGUCUUGCGGAUCCAGGACCUUUACCUUGAAAAAUUAGAGUGUUUAAAGCAGGCAUUUUUGCUCGAAUACAUUAGCAUGGAAUAAUAGAAUAGGACGGCAUGGUUCUAUUUUGUUGGUUUCUAGGAUCACCGUAAUGAUUAAUAGGGAUAGUUGGGGGCAUUAGUAUUCAAUUGUCAGAGGUGAAAUUCUUGGAUUUAUUGAAGACUAACUACUGCGAAAGCAUUUGCCAAGGAUGUUUUCAUUAAUCAAGAACGAAAGUUAGGGGAUCGAAGACGAUCAGAUACCGUCGUAGUCUUAACCAUAAACUAUGCCGACUAGGAAUCAGACGAUGUUAAUUUUUAAUGACUCGUU